rnacentral:rRNA from 1 species
UACGGAGGGUCCAAGCGUUAUCCGGAAUCAUUGGGUUUAAAGGGUCCGUAGGCGGUUUUGUAAGUCAGUGGUGAAAGCCCAUCGCUCAACGGUGGAACGGCCAUUGAUACUGCAAGACUUGAAUUAUUGUGAAGUAACCAGAAUAUGUAGUGUAGCGGUGAAAUGCUUAGAGAUUACAUGGAAUACCAAUUGCGAAGGCAGGUUACUAACAAUAUAUUGACGCUGAUGGACGAAAGCGUGGGUAGCGAACAGG